UAUUCAGAUUUUAUGAGACAUUGUAUUUUAUCUAUAUUAAAUAUAGAUAAAAGUCGUUUAAAAAAAACCUGCAAGUAAAAACUUGUAGUGUAAUUUGGUAUAAUAUAGGCUGUUCAAUAAGUUUUGCGGUUCGAUGAGAGAGGACGUUGCUACUAAACCAUUUAGUUUCGACGUGUAGUGAUGUUGAAAAAGUAACUAUUCGUUACAAAGUACUUGUUACUUACGAAUACCGAAAGUAACGAUUACUAUACAGAGAGGCAAAUCGUUACUUUGAUUACUCUGAUUACUUCGUAUCAGAGCCAGAGCUAGUAACGACUAUUGUGUCUACUUUGAUUACUCUGAUUACUUCGUUACUUCAUACCAAUCGUAUUAGAGCGAGUAACGACUAUUGUAUUUACUUUGAUUACUCUGAUUACUUCGUACCAAUCGUAUCAGAGCGAGUAACGACUAUUAUAUCUACUUUGAUUACUUUCAUUACUCUGAUUACUUCGUACCAAUCGUAACAGAGCGAGUAACGACUAUUGUAUCUACUUUGAUUACUCUGAUUACUUCGUACUUCGUUAAGGUCGUUAUUAUAUCGGAAUACCUAUACACAAUACCUACCUACUGAAAAUACGAUUCUCGAUAUGAUUACCGGUACUCAAAUGCAAAAGUAACACAAGUAAUCAUAGUAAUCAAAUCAUUUUUAUCCCUUAAACAGAUUUUUGAAGGUCGUUGUUAUAUCGGAAUACCUAUACAAACCUACCUACUGAGAAAUACGAUUCUCGGUAUGAUUACCGGUACUCAAAUACAAAAGUAAUCCUAGUAAUCAAAUCAUUUUUAUCCCUUAAACAGAUCGGUGAAGGUCGUUGUUAUAUCGGAAUACCUAUAACAAAUACCUACUACUGAGAAAUACGAUUCUCGAUAUGAUUACCGGUACUCAAAUACAAAAGUAACAAAAGUAAUCAUAGUAAUCAAAUCAUUUUUAUCCCUUAAACAGAUCGGUGAAGGUCGUUGUUAUAUCGGAAUACCUAUACAAAAUAGCUACCUACUGAGAAAUACGAUUCUAGAUAUUACCGGUACUCAAAUACAAAAGUAAUAAAAGUAAUCAGAGUAAUCAAAGUAACGAAUGCUGUAAAUGAUUACUUUAUACAAAAUACCUACCUACUGAGAAAUACGAUUCUCGAUAUGAUUACCGGUACUCAAAUACAAAAGUAACAAAAGUAAUCAUAGUAAUCAUAUCAUUUUUAUCCCUUAAACAGAUCGGUGAAGGUCGUUGUUAUAUCGGAAUACCUAUACAAAAUAGCUACCUACUGAGAAAUACGAUUCUAGAUAUGAUUACCGGUACUCAAAUACAAAAGUAACAAAAGUAAUAAUAGUAAUCAAAGUAACGAAUACUGUAAAUGAUUACUUUAUACAAAAUACCUACCUACUGAGAAAUACGAUUCUCGAUAUGAAUACCGGUACAAAAGUAAUCAUAGUAAUCAAAGUAACGAAUACUGUAAAUGAUUACUUUAUACAAAAGUAACGAUUUGUAACGAAUACUCGAAAGUAACUAUAAUCAAGAUCACUAUCGACGUGUCACAAUAUUUUUACAAUGGAAAAAGAUGGCACUGGUAGUGCAGUGAUUAAAUGUUUAUUCUUGGAAGGUAUAAAAGCAAGGGAAAUGUGUGAACAAAUGUUGAAAGUGUAUUCGCGGUGUGCAAGUACUUGGAGGGGAUACGCGAAAGGAUCGUGCGAGAAUAGCGGAGAAAUAUUGUAACUUUCUUAAAUAAUUCAUUGUCAAUUGAAAUUGUCAAAUUGACGUAUAUUUCAUAUCUACUGUCAAUAAAGAAGAAAUAUUAUAUAUUGCUCCACAAUAUUGAUAUGAUAUGCAAUUAU